AGGGGUUAAAUUGUGAAAGUUACAAAUUGGCCAUAAGUGUGUGAAUUAGUGAAAAUUUGGAGUUACCAUAGAAGAGAAAAAUGUUCAGCAUGUCUUAAACCUUAUAGAAAUUGAAUAAAAAUUAAUUUACGAGCAUUGGGGCAAAAGUGCAAAUAUGUAAAAGUUUUGGGGUCAAAAUAAAAAUUUGUAAAAUAUGAUUUUUAGACCCAUAUGAAUAUUGUGACUGAUUGGUAGGCUAAAUGUGAUGGUAUAGAUGAUGAAAAUUGAGACUUGGACCUAGAACGGAAAGAAAUCGAUUUAUGGACGAGUAUGUCCUUUUCACAUUUGUGGUAUCAAGAGUUUCCAGGUUAGCUCGGGUUGGAGGCCGUCAGAGAUAUUAUCACCCUAUCGAGUUAACAUUAUCGGAGUAAGUAAACUCAAGUGAUUCGAGUCUAUGGCAUGUAUAGGGUUUUAAUGUGAGUAUGUAAUAUUAUGAUUUAGCCAAAGGCAUUGGCUUGUUAUUAAGGUAGUAUUAGUCAUGUAAAUUGGCCUAUGUCGGCUAAUGACAUUAUGGGCCCAUAUGAUUAUUCUUAUGCAUGUAUGUUAUUAUCUCUUGUGAUGUGGCUUACAACAUGUAUACCUAGAGAUUGAAUUGAGAUUCAUUGAUGAGCUAGUAACUAAUGCAGGAUUAAGUGAUUGGUAAAUAGUUAAUAA